rnacentral:tRNA from 1 species
GCCUCGGUGGCCUAGUAGUCAGGGCAUCUGACUACCAAUCUAUAGGUCCCGGGUUCGAAUCCUGGUAGAGGCA